rnacentral:rRNA from 1 species
CGCUGGCGGCGUGCCUAAUACAUGCAAGUCGAACGGUCUUUCUAUGGAAGCUUGCUUCCACUGAGAAGAUAGUGGCGAACGGGUGAGUAACACGUGGGUAACCUGCCCAUAAGAGGGGGAUAACAUCCGGAAACGGGUGCUAAUACCGCAUAGUUUCCUUGAUCGCAUGAUCGGGAAAGGAAAGACGGCCUUUGUGCUGUCGCUUAUGGAUGGACCCGCGGCGUAUUAGUUAGUUGGUGAGGUAACGGCUCACCAAGACGAUGAUACGUAGCCGACCUGAGAGGGUGAUCGGCCACAUUGGGACUGAGACACGGCCCAAACUCCUACGGGAGGCAGCAGUAGGGAAUCUUCCGCAAUGGACGAAAGUCUGACGGAGCAACGCCGCGUGAGUGAAGAAGGUUUUCGGAAUCGUAAAACUCUGUUGUCAGAGAAGAACAAGUUGGAGAGUAACUGCUCCAGCCUUGACGGUAUCUGACCAGAAAGCCACGGCUAACUACGUGCCAGCAGCUGC